rfam:Gasterosteus aculeatus cont1.007689, whole genome shotgun sequence.
UUUACAGCAUGACGACAUCCUCCGAAACCACGUCCGUUGUGAGGGGGCUGUCUGAUGAAGCGUAAA